CUAUACAAAAAAGCACAAAGUAUGUGCUUCACAAGGGACUGGGUUGGGAGAAUAAGAAGUGCCAAUUCCUGGACCCUGGCCCAGCCCUGAGGAUGGGCAUCUGACUGAGCCCUUUGCAGAGUGAGGCUGCAAGCAGAAGCUGAAGGAGCCGUUUUUCUCAAGGGCCCUGUGGAUGUGGAGAAGCCUGCAGGGAUGCUUGGGGGUUCAGAUGACUGCAUGGCACAGAGCCUCCCACAGCUCUGAAGAGCAGUAAGCCAGGUACUGGACAACUAAGCACUGCAGAAAGACCCAGUUGGUCUGGUCCCUCAGGGCAGCAGCUCUGGGGGGCACCGCCACAGCUUUUCACUGUGGAGAUCAGCAGCAGCAGCUAUGGCAGCAUCCUGACCUCACAGGCCUUCCUGCCUUGCAUGGAGGAGCCAGGCAGGAGAGGAGCAAGACCUGUAGAAGCCUGGGUGAUAGAAGACUACUUGUGAGCUGGUGUGAGUCACGCUCAGCAAAGGGGGAAGAAGCAGUAAAAUGGGGUUAGAAUCAUUCCUGGGACUCUGUUUGUAACCAAGGGUUCUAGGGAAGACUGGUUACAGAAGUGAUCUUGGUGUUGAGCACUUAAAGGCCCAAGAUGGACCGGUUCUAUGAAGGUCGGCAGCAUGAGUAUGGUGUCACGACUCAGACAGGAUGAGAGUCAUCAUUGGAUCCCUGGGCCUCUCACCCAGGACCCCAGGUGCCUACCUUUGAAGCUUUCAUCUUCACUCCUGACUGACUGAUUGGGGCUCCAUUGGUGAGCCCGACUCCUGAUCCAAUCCAGGCCUCCAGAUGACAGUCUGUUGAAGAAUGGGCAGCACAGAUUGUGAUUCUUGAGAUUCUGAGUAUACUCUUGAAGCUGGGUUAGUGUCCUAGGCUUCUCUGCUUGUAAGAACUGGGCUAUAAUCCCAGGCAAACAAAAGGCUGGGUUGGAAUCUCAGGUUUCUCUGUAAGAAAGAGGCUGAGUUAGAUUCCCAGGCUUUCCUGUUUUAAGACAUAGAGUUGGGAUUAGAGUGCCAGGCUCCAUUGUUUGUGAGGUAUCAUGAGUUAUGAACAUGGCAGCUUCUCAGUUGACUGAACCUCACCCCAACCUCCUUCUGAAACCCCUGCUGACUAUGUGCUCCACCACCUAGGCACUAACUCUGUCUGCUUCCCUUCUUGUUGAUAUGAUCUUACAAAGGAUAAUUUGGGACUUCCCUAAAGUGGCAUCUCUAAGAUCUCUCUCUUCCUUUUGCCUCCAUUCCUCCUUCCAUUUUUGAUAUGCCCUCCUUUAAACCCCCACCUCCUCCACAUUUUUGUUCAGCCCUGCCAGACUUUUCCCUUCCCACUCCAGGCUCUCAACUACCUACACUCACUGGAGCCCCGUUGGAGACUCUAUGGGACUCAAGAGCCUCCAAAAGCAACUACAAUAUCUUAAAAAUGUCCUCCAUAAUAUUGGUAAAAAAUAUUUUUGCUCUCACAUUGGUCAGGUAGCAACUUGUUCCAUUCACCAAAAACACAAUUUGGAUAAAAAAAUUAAAGUGCAGUAAAGACGAGAGCCAACCAUUUCAUAUAAACCAGAGUUCUGUAUUACUGUGUUUACCUGACUCAUGGCUACAAUUUUAAAAUGGAAGCUAUAAGGUCUCCAUUUGCAUCUAUCUGUAUGUUUAUGUAUGUACAUAUGUAUGUUAUGUAUAUGUGAUACUUUCCUAUCUUCUGAUGGUAUUACCCAAUUAAUUUAUAAAACCCUAUAAAGAAGCUCUAUUCUGACAGGCUUAGGGACAAAUUGCUUAUAUCAAUUAAAUAUUUAUAAAGCUCUCAGAAAUAUAGGAAUUAACCCCAAUUUUUUUUAAGUUCAUGUGACUUUGGGAAAUAUUUGUUAGAUAAAACCAGUUUAAAAUUGUUGAUUGAAUAAAACAGCUGUCUUCUGAGUUAUCACAUGUAUUAAAUUCAUGUGAGUGGAAUCAAAAUUUUAUAAAUGAACUUUUUGACAAUAAUUAUGUUUUAUAAUAUCUGCCUAAAAAUGCUUUCCACAAUCUUUUUGGUAACUUGCAAUCUUAAAAUUAUGCUAAGUAAUACAUAUUCAUUAACUAUCUAGAUUAUUUCUAAGUCAGAUAAACCACUGAAAAUUUAUUUUUAAGCAUAAGUUUAAUUUUAUAUACUUUUGGCUUCUUAUUUUUAUAUCAUAUAGAGAGGCUACAUAUAUUUAGGUCUGUUACUAAACAUUCUUUUUGCCACAUUAAAACAAUUGUAUUACGAGGAAGCACAUACCUAUAAAAAUUGUGAGAUGGUAUAUUCAUAAAAUUUGCUGAUCUGCUACAGAAUGUUGGUACUUGACAGACAACUCACAAUUGUCUAUAACCUAGUUUUUUCUGUUACCAAAAAAAGAGGUUACUUAUGGUUAAAAAUUUUAAUCAACAUAUGUAAAUAAAGCUACUAGAACUAAUAAAGAUAAAGGGAAAUGACUUGCAAGCACAAUUUGCAAAGCAGGAAGAAUGUGUUUUUGUAUGGGAAAAAUAAAAAUAACUGUCUUAAAGUGAAAUGACUGGCUGUUCCAGAAUAAGAAAGAGGAAAACAUAGAACAAAAUGAAAUAGAUAUAAAAAAUUGUAAAAGGAAUAUUGGGCCAGAGCAAUUAGGCAAGACAAACAAACAAAGGGCAUCCAAAUUGGAAAGAAAGAAGUCAAAUUAGCCUUGUUUGCAGAUGACGUAACCUUGGACCUAGAAAAAUUGAAAGACUCCACUAAAACACUGAUAAAACUAAUAAACAAAUUCAGUAAAGUUUCAGGAUACAAAAUCAACAUACAAACUGAGCGUAGUGGCUCACGUUUGUAAUUCCAGCACUUUGAGAGUACAAGGUGAGUGGAUUGCUUGAGCCCAGGAGUUUGAUGCCAGCCUGGGCAAUAUGGCAAAACCCAGUCUCAACCAAAAAAUUUAAAAAUUAACCAUGUGUGGUGGCGUGCACCUAUAGUCCCACCUAACUUGUGAGGCUGAGGUUGGGAGGGUUGCUUGAGCCCAGGAGCUCAAGACUGCGGUGAGCCAUGAUUGUGCCACUACACUCUAGCCUGGGUGACAGAACGAGACAGUGUCUAAAAAAAAAAAAAAAAAAAGAAGACCAAACAAAAAAAUACAAAUACAUACAAAAAUCAGUAGCAUUUAUAUACCCAAUAGCAAACAAUUUGAAAAAGAACUCAAGAAAGCCAUCCCAUUUACAAUAGCUACAAAAAAUAUAAAAUAUCUAGGAAUCCUUUUAACCAAAGAAGCGAAAGAUCUGUAUAAGGAAAACUAUAAAACUCUGAUGAAAGAAAUGGCAGAAGACACCAAAAAAUGAAAGAUAUUUUAUACUCAUGGAUCAGAAAAAUUAAUAUUGUUAGAAUGACAAUACUCAAAGCAAUUUACAGAUUUAAUGCAAUCCCUAUCAAAAUACUAAUGUUAUAUGCCUACUAUGUACCCAUAAAAAUGUUUUCAAUUUUUUUUAAAGAUAAAAUAAAAUAGGUCGGGCGUGGUGGCUCAUGCCUGUAAUCCUAGCACUUUGGGAGGCCGAGGCGGGUGGAUCAUGAGGUCAGGAGAUCGAGACCAUCCUGGCUAACACGGUGAAACCCCGUCUCUACUGAAAAUACAAUAAAAAUUAGCCAGGUGUGGUGGCAGGCGCCUGUAGUCUCAGCUACUGGGGAGGCUGAGGCAGGAGAAUGGCGUGAACCUGGGAGGUGGAGCUUGCAGUGAGCCGAGAUAGCGCCACUGCACUCCAGCCUGGGCGGCAGAGCAAGACUCUGUCUCAAUAAAUAAAUAAAUAAAUAAAUAAAUAAAUAAAUAAAUAAAUAAAUAAAAUAAAACAAAAUAAAACAAUGACAUAUUCACAGAAAUAGAAAAAAAAAUCCUAAAAUUUAUAUGAAACUACAAAAGACCUCAAAUAGCCAAAGCAAUUCUGAGCAAAAAGAACGAAGCUGGAGGUGCCACACUAUCUGACUUCAAAUUUUACUACAAAGCCAUAGUAACCAAAAUAGACUGGCAUAAAAAUAGACACACAGACCAAUGGAACAGAAUAGAGAAACCUGAUAUAAAUCCACACAUUUAAAACCAAGUCAUCUUUGACAAAGUCACCAAGAACAUACAGUAGGGAAAGGACAGUCUUUUCAAUAAAUGGUACUGGGAAAACUGGAUAAUUAUAUGCAGAAACAUGACUAUAAACUCCUGUCCCUCACGUGAGCAAAUCAAAAUGAAUUAAAGACUUAAAUCUAAGACCUGAAACUAUGAAACUACUAGAAGAAAACAUAGGGGAAAUGCUCCAGGACCUCGGUCAGGGCAAAGAUUUCCUGUGUAAGACCUCAAAAGCGAAGGGAACUAAAACAAAAAUAGACAACUGCGAUUAUAUCAAGCUAAUAAGCUUCUGCACAACAAAGGAAACAAUCAACAAAGAAAAAGGAACACACAAAAUGGGAGAAAAUAUUUGCAAACUAUCCAUCUGCAAGGGAUUAGUAACCAGAAUAUAUAAGGAGCUCAAACAACUCAAUAGCAAAACACAAAGUAUCUGAUUAAAGAAUGGGCAAAAGAUCUGAACAAACAUUUUCUUUUUGCAGGGGAGGUGGUGAGACAGAGUUGUGCUCUGUUCCCCAAAGUGGAGUGUAGUGGUGUGAUUUCAGGUCAUGCAACCUUUGCUUUGCAGUGAACAGACAUUUUUCAAAAGAAGACAUACAAGUAGCCAACAGCUAUAUGAAAAGAAAUGCUCAAUUCAACAUCACUAAUCAUCAGAGAAAUGCAAAUAAAAAUAACAACAAGAUAUCAUCUCAUUCCACUUGAAAUGGCUUGUAUCAAAAAGACAGGAAAUUAACAGAUGCCAGUGAGGAUACUAUGAGGAGAUGCUCAUAAUUCCAUGGAAAAGGGAAACCCUCAUACAUUGUUAGUAGGAAUACAAAUUCCUAGUACAACCACAAUGGAGAACAGUAUAAAGGCUCCUAAAAAAACUAAAAAUAGAAUUACUAUAUGACCCAGCCAUCCCACUAUCGGGUAUAUAACCAAAAGCAAGGGAAUCGUCCAAGAGAUAUAUGUGUACUCUCAUGUUUAUUGCAGCACUAUUCACAAUAGCCAGAAUAUAUAAUCAGUCAAAGUGCCCAUCAGUGGAUGAAUGAACAAAGAAAAUGUGGUAUAUAUACACAGUGGAAUAUUAUUCAGCCAUAAAAAAAUAAGAUCCUGUCAUUUGCAGCAACACAGAUGGAACUAUAAACCAUUAUGUUAGGUGAAAUAAGCUAAGCACAGAAAGAUAAAUAUUUCAUGUUCUCAUUCAUAUGUAGGAGCUGAAAACAUGUAUUUCAUGAAGAUAGAGAGUAGACUGGUAGUUAUCAAAGGCUGGGAAGGGGAGGGGGAGGAGGAGGUGAAAGGCAAAAAAAUUAUAUAUAUAUUAAAAAAUAUAUAAAUGUACUUAUUACCACUGAACUGUACAUUUAAGAUGGUAAAUAUAGUAAGUAAUAUAUGUAUAUUUUCCCUCAAUAAAAGUAAAUUUUAGAAAGGGAUAUUGGAAAAGAAAUCUUAUCUUGUGCAAUCAAAACUGGGUAAGAGUAAACAGAUUUAUAAAGUGUUUAAAAAAUGGGCUUCAGUAAAAGUGCUAAGCCUUUUUUUUUUUAGCAAUUUUGUUUCUACAUAUAUUUACUUUUGAAUUCUUUUACUAUCACUUUGGUUAAGCUGGUAACUAAGUAUUGUUUCACAGUGGCCUAGAGUUCUAUUUAGUUAACUGUUCAAACCUCUUGAUAUUUUUGACAAUUUGGCCUUUCCAAAAUAAAAUCCUAAAUGAAAUCUUGAUCUUGAACUGACCUUGAGAUUUCUCAGGGAGCCCCUGCAAAAUCUCAAAAAAUUUGUUCUUUCACUUUCUAAAAACAGCAAAGUUAAAAAACAAUUAGGUUUAUUUGGUAUGUUGAAUUGCAUGAAAAGCAUUGUUACAUAAAGAGAUGCUUAACCUUCCCUGUGUUAUAUUUGUAUGGGUCAAUGUUAUUAAUAUAAAUAUUUCAGAAAUUGUAUGAAGUUUGUAGAAAUCUGUCAUUGUCCUUGCUGCUCAUAACAUGUACUGGUAAAGUGUUAUCAAUCAUAAUUCCAUCAUUUUAAUAUUUAAAAUGUUGCAUGCCACAGAGACAACCGAAUUUCCUUGUCAUUUGCGUAUUUUUUAUUAUGAACUCUUAGCAGAUCUUUAGCCAUGGUCAUUUUAAGGCUUUUGUCAUUCACUGAUAAUUUUUGUUUUACUCUGAUUCUUCUCUGAAAGCAUUCGCAACCUGCUACAGGCAAGCAUGCUUCAUUUUCAGCAAAAAGGAAUUGUCUCAGAGACUCAUAGAAAGGACUGUCAAGUACUCUGGGCUACAGGAUUCUGAUAGCAUUGUUCACAUAACUUUGAGACCAUAGCACUGGACUGAGUAAGAAUUUCCAUAACUCUAGUGGAGAAGCUUACGGGUUCAUAAAACUGCUAAUCUAAGUGCUAUGGACUGAUGUUUGUAUCAUAUCCAAAGCUCGUAUGUUGAAGUCCUAAUCCCCAAGGUGGCUGUAUUUGGAGAUGGGGCCUCUAAGAAAGUAAUUCAAGUUAAAUGGGUCAUAGGAUGGGGCCCUGAUCUAAUAGGAUUCGUGUUCUUAUAAAAAAGAAACACUAGAGAAUUCAUGCUCGCUCUCCCUCUCUCUCUCUCUCUCUCUCCACAUUUACACAAAGAAGAGGUCAUGUGAGCACACAGUGAGAAAGUGGCCAUCUGCAACCCAAGGGGAGAGCCCUCACCAGACACCAAUCAUGUUGGCACCUCGAUCUUGGCUUUUCAGUCUCCAAACUGUGAGAAGUUUCGUUGCUUAUACUGCCCAGCCUAUGGCAUUUUGUUAUGGUAGCCUGAGCAGACUAAUACAACUAAGAUCAAGCAGAACAAGAAUUAAUUAGAUGAAACGGAAUGAACUGAUGAAGAAUAGUUAUGGCUUUUGUUUGAAAUAUUGUUGCUGGAUUUAAGGAACCCCUUUCUCUUUCCUCUGAAGCUAUCUGUAACUCAUUAAUAGAGUAUGCUUUUGUAAACAGAAUGAAACAUUUACCCUUUAUCCUUGCCUAGACUUUCCAGAAUUUGGAAAGUCAUAUUGAGUAUUCUUAUUUUCACGGUAAUAUAAUUAUUUGCAGAGAUGCAGUCAGAGUCUGUUCUCCUUGAACAGUUCAGAGGUUCCUCAGAAAACUCAAAAUAGAGCUACCAUAUGAUCCAGCAAUCCUACUACUGGGUAUAAGCCCAAAAGAAAGGAAAUCGGUCUAUCAAAGAGAUAUCUGCACCCCCAUGUUUGUUGCAGCACUAUUCACAAUAGCCAAAAUUUAGAAGUAACCUAAGUAUCCAUCAACAGAUGAAUGGAUAAAGAAACUGUGGUACAUAUACACAAUGGAGUAUUAUUUAUCCAUUAAAAAGAAUGAGACCCUGUCAUUUGCAACAACAUGGAUGGAACUAGAGAUCAUUAUUAUAAGUGAAAUAUGCCAGGCACAGAAAGACAAACGUCACAUGUUCUUACUUAUUUGUGGGAUCUAAAAAUCAAAACAGGCUGGGCACAGUGGCUCACACCAGCACUUUGGGAGGCUGAUGCGGGCAGAUUAGUCGAGGUCAGGAGUUCAAGACCAGCCUGACCAACAUGGUGAAACCCCAUCUCUACUAAAAUACAAAAAUUAGCCAGGCGUGGUGGCAGGCACCUGUAAUCUCAGCUACUUAGGAGUCUGAGGCAGGAGAAUCACUUGAACGCAGGAGGCAGAGGUUGCGGUUAGCCAAGAUCAUGCCACUGCAUUCCAGCCUGGGCAACAGAGGGAGACUCCCUCUCAAAAAAUAAAUAAAUAAAUACAUAAAAAUAAAAACAAUUGAACACAUGGAGAUAGUAGAAGGAUGGUUAUCAGAGGCUGGGAAGGGUAGCAGGAGAAUGAUGGGGGGAGGUGGGGAUGGUUAAUGGGUGCAAAAAAAAAGAAUGAAUGAAUGAGUAAGACCUGGUAUUGAAGAGCACAACAGGGUGACUAUAGGCAAUAAUAAUUUGAUUGUACAUUUGAAAAUAACUAAAAGAGCAUACCCAGCACUUUGGGAGGCCGAGGCGGGCGGAUCACGAGGUCAGGAGAUCGAGACCAUCCCGGCU
rnacentral:lncRNA from 1 species